rnacentral:rRNA from 1 species
UCAAGAAACUUCCACAAUGGGCGAAAGCCUGAUGGAGCGACGUCGCGUGAUGGACGAAGUGCUUCGGCACGUAAACAUCUUUUAUGUGGGAUGAAAUUAUUGACAGUACCACAUGAAUAAGGGGCUCCUAACUCUGUGCCAGCAGGAGCGGUAAUACAGAGGCCCCAAGCGUUAUCCGGAAUCACUGGGCGUAAAGGGUGUCGAGGCGGUUGUAUUAGUCGUUCGUAAAAUCUACGAGCUUAACUUGUAGGCGGCGAACGAAACGGUACGACUUGAGGUUUGGAGAGGUGCGUGGAACUCACGGUGUAGGGGUGAAGUCCGUUGAUAUCGUGGGGAACACCAAAGGCGAAGGCAGCGCACUGGCCAAAAUCUGACGCUCACACACGAAAGCUAGGGUAGCGAAGAGGAUUAGAUACCCAUGUAGUCCCUGAGCGGGCUGGCAAGGCGCAU